CCGGUUGCCGGAGCCCGAUCCUGCGUCUUUUGUCUGCCCUGCUCCAGCUGAGGAGCGGAGACGGCUGCGCGCCCCAAGCGAGCCAAUCAGAAGGUAGCCGGCGCCGGCCGAAAUGGAUGAAAAUUUUCUUCUGUGCUCUGAAUAUAGUGCAUGAUCUCAGAGUUCUCUGUGCCAGCAGACUCUGUCUGGAACUCAGCCAAAACUUCUUCAUGAUUAAAGCAACACAAAGGCCACCUGGAUGAUAUGCAUGCCAUUUCUACAAAUGUCCCCUCCAACAAGGCAACAGAUUUCAGCUUGGCUCUCACCAGGAGACAGAGCAAAUGAGAUCCAAAUGACAGUCCAGGCUGUUUUGCUAGGGCAGGGCACAAACAGAGCAAGCAGCUGGUGAGCUGUUACCUCAUGUCGUCUCCAUAACUCUGGGAAAGAGGAUUGUAUCGUUAGUCUCAUUUUACAGAUGAGGAAUUGAGACCCAAAGCAGUAAAGCAACUUGUUCAAAGUCA